UUAAGCGACUAAGCGUACACGGUGGAUGCCCUGGCAGUCAGAGGCGAUGAAGGACGUGCUAAUCUGCGAAAAGCGUCGGUAAGGUGAUAUGAACCGUUAUAACCGGCGAUACCCGAAUGGGGAAACCCAGUGUGUUUCGACACACUAUCAUGUCAUGAAUACAUAGUGGCAUGAGGCGAACCGGGGGAACUGAAACAUCUAAGUACCCCGAGGAAAAGAAAUCAACCGAGAUUCCCCCAGUAGCGGCGAGCGAACGGGGAGGAGCCCAGAGCCUGAAUCAGUGUGUGUGUUAGUGGAAGCGUCUGGAAAGGCGUGCGAUACAGGGUGACAGCCCCGUACACAAAAAUGCACAUAUUGUGAGCUCGAUGAGUAGGGCGGGACACGUGGUAUCCUGUCUGAAUAUGGGGGGACCAUCCUCCAAGGCUAAAUACUCCUGACUGACCGAUAGUGAACCAGUACCGUGAGGGAAAGGCGAAAAGAACCCCGGCGAGGGGAGUGAAAAAGAACCUGAAACCGUGUACGUACAAGCAGUGGGAGCCUCUUAAUGGGGUGACUGCGUACCUUUUGUAUAAUGGGUCAGCGACUUAUAUUCUGUAGCAAGGUUAACCGAAUAGGGGAGCCGAAGGGAAACCGAGUCUUAACUGGGCGUUAAGUUGCAGGGUAUAGACCCGAAACCCGGUGAUCUAGCCAUGGGCAGGUUGAAGGUUGGGUAACACUAACUGGAGGACCGAACCGACUAAUGUUGAAAAAUUAGUGGAUGACUUGUGGCUGGGGGUGAAAGGCCAAUCAAACCGGGAGAUAGCUGGUUCUCCCCGAAAGCUAUUUAGGUAGCGCCUCGUGAAUUCAUCUCCGGGGGUAGAGCACUGUUUCGGCAAGGGGGUCAUCCCGACUUACCAACCCGAUGCAAACUGCGAAUACCGGAGAAUGUUAUCACGGGAGACACACGGCGGGUGCUAACGUCCGUCGUGAAGAGGGAAACAACCCAGACCGCCAGCUAAGGUCCCAAAGUCAUGGUUAAGUGGGAAACGAUGUGGGAAGGCCCAGACAGCCAGGAUGUUGGCUUAGAAGCAGCCAUCAUUUAAAGAAAGCGUAAUAGCUCACUGGUCGAGUCGGCCUGCGCGGAAGAUGUAACGGGGCUAAACCAUGCACCGAAGCUGCGGCAGCGACACUAUGUGUUGUUGGGUAGGGGAGCGUUCUGUAAGCCUGUGAAGGUGGCCUGUGAGGGUUGCUGGAGGUAUCAGAAGUGCGAAUGCUGACAUAAGUAACGAUAAAGCGGGUGAAAAGCCCGCUCGCCGGAAGACCAAGGGUUCCUGUCCAACGUUAAUCGGGGCAGGGUGAGUCGACCCCUAAGGCGAGGCCGAAAGGCGUAGUCGAUGGGAAACAGGUUAAUAUUCCUGUACUUGGUGUUACUGCGAAGGGGGGACGGAGAAGGCUAUGUUAGCCGGGCGACGGUUGUCCCGGUUUAAGCAUGUAGGCUGGUUGUCCAGGCAAAUCCGGAUAAUCAAGGCUGAGGUGUGAUGACGAGGCACUACGGUGCUGAAGUAACAAAUGCCCUGCUUCCAGGAAAAGCCUCUAAGCAUCAGGUAACAUUAAAUCGUACCCCAAACCGACACAGGUGGUCAGGUAGAGAAUACCAAGGCGCUUGAGAGAACUCGGGUGAAGGAACUAGGCAAAAUGGUGCCGUAACUUCGGGAGAAGGCACGCUGAUAUGUAGGUGAAGCGACUUGCUCGUGGAGCUGAAAUCAGUCGAAGAUACCAGCUGGCUGCAACUGUUUAUUAAAAACACAGCACUGUGCAAACACGAAAGUGGACGUAUACGGUGUGACGCCUGCCCGGUGCUGGAAGGUUAAUUGAUGGGGUCAGCCGCAAGGCGAAGCUCUUGAUCGAAGCCCCAGUAAACGGCGGCCGUAACUAUAACGGUCCUAAGGUAGCGAAAUUCCUUGUCGGGUAAGUUCCGACCUGCACGAAUGGCGUAAUGAUGGCCAGGCUGUCUCCACCCGAGACUCAGUGAAAUUGAACUCGCUGUGAAGAUGCAGUGUACCCGCGGCAAGACGGAAAGACCCCGUGAACCUUUACUAUAGCUUGACACUGAACAUUGAGCCUUGAUGUGUAGGAUAGGUGGGAGGCUUUGAAGUGUGGACGCCAGUCUGCAUGGAGCCGACCUUGAAAUACCACCCUUUAAUGUUUGAUGUUCUAACGUUGGCCCGUAAUCCGGGUUGCGGACAGUGUCUGGUGGGUAGUUUGACUGGGGCGGUCUCCUCCUAAAGAGUAACGGAGGAGCACGAAGGUUGGCUAAUCCUGGUCGGACAUCAGGAGGUUAGUGCAAUGGCAUAAGCCAGCUUGACUGCGAGCGUGACGGCGCGAGCAGGUGCGAAAGCAGGUCAUAGUGAUCCGGUGGUUCUGAAUGGAAGGGCCAUCGCUCAACGGAUAAAAGGUACUCCGGGGAUAACAGGCUGAUACCGCCCAAGAGUUCAUAUCGACGGCGGUGUUUGGCACCUCGAUGUCGGCUCAUCACAUCCUGGGGCUGAAGUAGGUCCCAAGGGUAUGGCUGUUCGCCAUUUAAAGUGGUACGCGAGCUGGGUUUAGAACGUCGUGAGACAGUUCGGUCCCUAUCUGCCGUGGGCGCUGGAGAACUGAGGGGGGCUGCUCCUAGUACGAGAGGACCGGAGUGGACGCAUCACUGGUGUUCGGGUUGUCAUGCCAAUGGCACUGCCCGGUAGCUAAAUGCGGAAGAGAUAAGUGCUGAAAGCAUCUAAGCACGAAACUUGCCCCGAGAUGAGUUCUCCCUGACUCCUUGAGAGUCCUGAAGGAACGUUGAAGACGACGACGUUGAUAGGCCGGGUGUGUAAGCGCAGCGAUGCGUUGAGCUAACCGGUACUAAUGAACCGUGAGGCUUAACCUU
rnacentral:rRNA from 1 species